GACGAGCGCUGGCGGCGUGCUUAACACAUGCAAGUCGAACGAAAAGAGGGAAAGAGCUUGCUCUUUCCGGAAUUGAGUGGCAAACGGGUGAGUAACACGUAAACAACCUGCCUUCAGGAUGGGGACAACAGACGGAAACGACUGCUAAUACCGAAUAAGUUCCAAGGGCCGCAUGGCCCAUGGAAGAAAAGGUGGCCUCUACCUGUAAGCUAUCGCCUGAAGAGGGGUUUGCGUCUGAUUAGCUGGUUGGAGGGGUAACGGCCCACCAAGGCGACGAUCAGUAGCCGGUCUGAGAGGAUGAACGGCCACACUGGAACUGAGACACGGUCCAGACUCCUACGGGAGGCAGCAGUGGGGAAUCUUCCGCAAUAGGCGAAAGCCUGACGGAGCAACGCCGCGUGAGUGAUGACGGCCUUCGGGUUGUAAAACUCUGUGAUCCGGGACGAAAAGGCAGAGUGCGAAGAACAAACUGCAUUGACGGUACCGGAAAAGCAAGCCACGGCUAACUACGUG
rnacentral:rRNA from 1 species